AUGGCUACCCUCUUCAAAUCUUCUGGGUACACAUACAAAAACAUCGAAAAUUUUGAGUGCAUUUCUCCUGAGGACUACCCCCAGCAAAACAACCUCCACAAUUGUGCUCUGUAUGCUAUCAUGUACAUGGAUAUCUGGGAUGGGAAGAACAUGAAGGAAUUUGAUGAUAAAUUAUUCCUCAAUUUCGGCAGCUCGUUGCUUACAAAUUGGCAAAGUCUGACAUCAAUGAAGAAGACUUCGAGCGACUUCAAGAAGAUGUUUCAAGCAAGAAGAGGAAAAAGCGCCGUUAGUUCUGUGCAGAAAGAAAACACUUCCAGCUUCUAA
rnacentral:rRNA from 1 species